rnacentral:rRNA from 1 species
UUCGAUGCAACGCGAAGAACCUUACCUGGCCUUGACAUACUAGAAACUUUCCAGAGAUGGAUUGGUGCCUUCGGGAAUCUAGAUACAGGUGCUGCAUGGCUGUCGUCAGCUCGUGUCGUGAGAUGUUGGGUUAAGUCCCGCAACGAGCGCAACCCUUUUCCUUACUUGCCAGCAUUUCGGAUGGGAACUUUAAGGAUACUGCCAGUGACAAACUGGAGGAAGGCGGGGACGACGUCAAGUCAUCAUGGCCCUUACGGCCAGGGCUACACACGUGCUACAAUGGUCGGUACAAAGGGUUGCUACACAGCGAUGUGAUGCUAAUCUCAAAAAGCCGAUCGUAGUCCGGAUUGGAGUCUGCAACUCGACU